AUGCAUAAUUAUCUCUAAUCUUAUCUUCGUCAUGUCACUAUAAUUUACCUCUAAAUCGACACAUAUUACUCAUUCAUCCAGCGAUUGAAUACGUGUCUCAAAUCUUAAUGCUUGACUUCUCCAAAACAACUACCAAAACACAACCCUUCGCUAUGAUUUCCUCCUUAGUACGUUUAAUACCGAAAUCAAUCUCUUGAAUCUAAUCCUCAAGAGAUUUAAAAUACUUACCACACCAUCUAACUUUCUCCAUUACAUCUCAAAAUUAAACCAAAAUUUCCUUCCAACUAUCGCUCCCAUUGUCUUAGUACUCUUACUAACAAACUCUCUUUCUAAUAAUACACGACAUUUCAAGAAAAUUUCCAAAAAUUCUCGUCCAAAACUUGAAUUAUUUAAAACCUGUCUACCUCAACACCAAUGAUGUCAUAAAUUCAAGAUACUACUUGGUCCUUCAACCCUUUUGGUCGAUCGAAAUCAUUAACUUAAAUGUCCAAUCACACGGGAUCUCUACUCAAAUCUUGACUAAUCCCU
rnacentral:lncRNA from 1 species